rnacentral:rRNA from 1 species
GACGAACGCUGGCGGCGUGCCUAAUACAUGCAAGUAGAACGCUGAAGGAGGAGCUUGCUUCUCUGGAUGAGUUGCGAACGGGUGAGUAACGCGUAGGUAACCUGCCUGGUAGCGGGGGAUAACUAUUGGAAACGAUAGCUAAUACCGCAUAAGAGUAGAUGUUGCAUGACAUUUGCUUAAAAGGUGCAAUUGCAUCACUACCAGAUGGACCUGCGUUGUAUUAGCUAGUUGGUGGGGUAACGGCUCACCAAGGCGACGAUACAUAGCCGACCUGAGAGGGUGAUCGGCCACACUGGGACUGAGACACGGCCCAGACUCCUACGGGAGGCAGCAGUAGGGAAUCUUCGGCAAUGGACGGAAGUCUGACCGAGCAACGCCGCGGGAGUGAAGAAGGUUUUCGGAUCGUAAAGCUCUGUUGUAAGAGAAGAAAGAGUGUGAGAGUGGAAAGUUCACACUGUGACGGUAGCUGACCAGAAAGGGACGGCUAACUACGUG